rnacentral:rRNA from 1 species
UAGGGAAUCUUCGGCAAUGGGGGGAACCCUGACCGAGCAACGCCGCGUGAGUGAAGAAGGUUUUCGGAUCGUAAAGCUCUGUUGUUAAGGAAGAACGAGUGUGAGAAUGGAAAGUUCAUGCUGUGACGGUACUUAACCAGAAAGGGACGGCUAACUACGUGCCAGCAGCCGCGGUAAUACGUAGGUCCCGAGCGUUGUCCGGAUUUAUUGGGCGUAAAGCGAGCGCAGGCGGUUAGAAAAGUCUGAAGUGAAAGGCAGUGGCUCAACCAUUGUAGGCUUUGGAAACUGUUUAACUGGAGUGCAGAAGGGGAGAGUGGAAUUCCAUGUGUAGCGGUGAAAUGCGUAGAUAUAUGGAGGAACACCGGUGGCGAAGGCGGCUCUCUGGUCUGUAACUGACGCGGAGGCUCGAAAGCGUGGGGAGCGAACAGG